AGUGAACGCUGGCGGUAGGCCAAACACAUGCAAGUCGAACGGCAGCACAGUAAGAGCUUGCUCUUACGGGUGGCGAGUGGCGGACGGGUGAGGAAUACAUCGGAAUCUACUUUUUCGUGGGGGAUAACGUAGGGAAACUUACGCUAAUACCGCAUACGACCUACGGGUGAAAGCAGGGGAUCUUCGGACCUUGCGCGAUUGAAUGAGCCGAUGUCGGAUUAGCUAGUUGGCGGGGUAAAGGCCCACCAAGGCGACGAUCCGUAGCUGGUCUGAGAGGAUGAUCAGCCAAACUGGAACUGAGACACGGUCCAGACUCCUACGGGAGGCAGCAGUGGGGAAUAUUGGACAAUGGGCGCAAGCCUGAUCCAGCCAUACCGCGUGGGUGAAGAAGGCCUUCGGGUUGUAAAGCCCUUUUGUUGGGAAAGAAAAGCAGCAGGUUAAUACCCCGCUGUUCUGACGGUACCCAAAGAAUAAGCACCGGCUAACUUCGUG
rnacentral:rRNA from 1 species